CAGCUGGAAGCACUGGCACCAGGGACUUUCGCGCCGCUGCGCGCGCUGCGCAACCUCUCAUUGGCCGGCAACCGGCUGGCGCGCCUGGAGCCCGCGGCGCUAGGCGCGCUCCCGCUGCUGCGCUCACUCAGCCUGCAGGACAACGAGCUGGCGGCACUCGCGCCGGGGCUGCUGGGCCGCCUGCCCGCUCUAGACGCGCUGCACCUGCGCGGCAACCCUUGGGGCUGCGGGUGCGCGCUGCGCCCGCUCUGCGCCUGGCUGCGCCGGCACCCGCUGCCCGCGUCAGGCCGAGACGGUGCUCUGCGUGUGGCCGGGACGCCUGACGCUCAGCCCCCUGACUGCCUUUUCCGACGCCGCCUUUAGCCAUUGCGCGCAGCCGCUCGCCCUGCGGGACCUGGCCGUGGUUUACACGCUCGGGCCGGCCUCCUUCCUCGUCAGCCUGGCUUCCUGCCUGGCGCUGGGCUCUGGGCUCACCGCCUGCCGUGCGCGCCGCCGCCGCCUCCGCACCGCCGCCCUCCGCCCGCCGAGACCGCCAGACCCGAACCCCGAUCCCGACCCCCACGGCUGUGCCUCGCCCGCGGACCCGGGGAGCCCCGCCGCUGCCGCCCAAGCCUGAGCGGCCGCGGCCGCCUGGAGCGCUCGAAGCUUCCCCCAUGCCUUUGCCCUCCCUUUACACUGUCUGCCGGCGUCAACAAGCGACACAGAC
rnacentral:lncRNA from 10 species